ACCCUUUUUCAUUUCACAUGUGUAAUAAUUAGGUGUUCAUGUGCAUGUGGGAGACGAGCCUCCUUCAUGCCUUGUUAUGAUUUCAGCAUACUAUCCAUCUAAUG
ensembl:snoRNA